rnacentral:lncRNA from 1 species
AACAAUAAUGAUAUUCAAAUUGAAUAAUAAUCUCAAGAAGUAUACAAUAGAACAAAUAUUGUAUAACAAUUUCAUAUUUUGAAAGGAUAAUAAAUCUUUAAUAUAACAAUUCGAACUUGAAUAAUAGUAAUGAGGAUUUACUCAAGGUAAAUAAUAAACUUGAACAAUGAUAACAAGUAGGGGUAAGAAACUUGCCUCGUGCGUAGAUUACACUUUAAUUAAACUCGUUCUUUGAUUUAAAUCCUACAUAUCAUUUACAUUCACAACUCUAGUUAAAUUAUAAUAUAAUUAACCAUCAUAAUUUCAUUCUUUUAUCUAAACUUUGGUUAUGACGAUACUUAGUCAAUUUAUCACAUUCAUUGCCACAUAAUUUACACUUCACAAAUAACAACUAAUUAUGUAUUCAAUAAUUCAAUCCACAUGCAAUUAUGUUAUUGAUAUGAUAAUAAUCUGUUUUAACAUCUUACUGUACUUCUAAUAUAUUCUUAUGUUCAUUAAAUUAGAUUAAUAUCACAUUCAUGGACUUAAACACUUUAAAAUUUUUGUUUCUGAACUUUCUGAAGAGUGGCGCUGCGGCGCCACUGAUGCACUUGUACUCGGCGCUGCGGCGCGAUGGUGCUGCGGCCGAACUCUUGGCGCUGCGGCGCGGGAAAUAGGCAGGCAGCCGGCGUUGCGGCGCGGCGUACCAGUUGCAGAAAUGGCAGUUCGCGAAAAAUCGCAGAACAUGCCAAUUUCUAUCAAUUUCUUAAUUUCUACUCGAAUUUAGACAUACCCACAUGAUAUAAUUCACACAUAAUCAUUACCCAACAUCUAUAGAAUGACUUUAACUAAUUUAAACACUUAAUUACAGAAUUAAAGCAUGCAAUUUUCACUGUUCUUGAAGGUUUUGAAAACAAUACAUGAAAUUUAACACUACGGAUUCGUUAUAACACCGAAUCCGUUCGUUUAAAGUUUGGUCUCUUCGUAUCAACAUGCAUAAUAAAAUAAGAGUGUAAAUUUUACGAAAACAUUUAUGUUUUACAUACUAAAAUCACGUAUAAGGCCAUAUGGCCACAACCCAAACUCUAUAAAUUUUGAAAUAACAAGUCAUCGUAUAACGACAUGUUUUAUGAUACUGAUGAUAUGGUCUACAUAAUAAAUAUAUAAUCAAAUACGAUUUGAUAUGACAUAACACAUAUACAUCCCAUAAUCAUUACUCAUUUCCCAAUUACAGAGGUUUAAAUCAAAAACUAUGAAACUCAUAUCCAUGAAACUUAACAACGUAAAAUAGAAAUUGGGAAGGAAGAGAUUACCCUGUAGAGUAUAAAUUAGUAGGCUUAGAUUCCUCACUCUCAAUCUCCUUCACAAACUCACAAUUUCUCUCUGAAAGUUUUAUCUCUGUGAUAAUUUUCUAGACUUAAAAUAAUAAGAAAAGAAAGGAAGAGAAGACGUCGAAUAAUUAAAUAAACUGAGCGCAGAGUGGUCAGUUGGCCCAAUCAUGGGUUAACUGCUGAUAACUCCCCAUAGGACCUUGUUUGGCUUAGCAAGAAUAGAUUACAAAACUAUUUAAUUUAAUAAAACCUCUACAAUAUAGUUUAAUUAAUGUCACACCCAUACACAAUAAUUCAAAUAUCUUAUUUAAUUUAAAUUAAAUUAAAUAUAAUAAUUUAUCAUAAAUUCACAUAAUCAUAUAAUUAAUUUUUUCAUUAAUAAAUUAAAUUAAAUUAUUAAAUCUUUAAUUAAUUAUUAAAUUAACUAAAAUAACAUUAGGCUUAUUAAAUAUUCCUUUUUAAUUCAAUAAGCUCACAUAAAUAAAUAUAACACAUAUAAUUAAAUUAAUCUACCACAAUUGCAUCAAUUAAUUAUUUAAUCUAAUAAUUAAAUCAUCGAAAAUAUUUAUUUACUUCAAUAAAUAUUAAGAAUUAAAUUACAAAAUCUCGU